rnacentral:rRNA from 1 species
UACAGAGGGGGCAAGCGUUGUUCGGAAUUACUGGGCGUAAAGGGCGCGUAGGCGGCCUUCUAAGUCGAACGUGAAAUCCCCGGGCUCAACCCGGGAACUGCGUCCGAUACUGGAAGGCUUGAAUCCGGGAGAGGGAUGCGGAAUUCCAGGUGUAGCGGUGAAAUGCGUAGAUAUCUGGAGGAACACCGGUGGCGAAGGCGGCAUCCUGGACCAGUAUUGACGCUGAGGCGCGAAAGCCAGGGGAGCAAACGGG